rnacentral:rRNA from 1 species
AUGCGGCAAGCGUUCCAAUCAAACAUGUUCACAUUCACUGACAAGCUAAUGGCGUGCCUCGGAGAAAUGUGUACAUGUUGUAAAGCACACGGACGGAAAAUGUGUGUCCUCAAGAGCGAAGACAAAACCAUACAUGAACCGCCCCCAACUCCAUCAACUGAACAGCUAAGCACUCCACUAGUCACCAAGAUUGGACCACGCCUUCCUGCACCAGGAAUGCCAGAAGGUCAAGUGUCUGCUACUAGUUCUGUUUCUAGGAAAAGGGAUGGAAGCCUAUCAUCAAGUAUGCAGUCCGGUCCAUCUAAGAGACUUUGUUUACCAGCCUCCAUUGGAGAAGAUGACCUUUGCCAAAAACAGAGACCAAUAGCCCAAGAUUCUAUAGUUAUGGACAUCGCUAGCAGCAUCCUGUCAAUGUAUGAUGAUCUAACAGCCGUCCUUGUCACUUAUUAUGCCGAGAUCCGUCCAGCACACACGGCGAUCUUGUUUGGUGCAACAACAGACGGAGCACCUGUGAAGAUUGACCUGGCACAGUGCAACUUUGGGAGGGACCCAUGGGUUGCUGGUUCGGUACCCCCGCCCCCUCCAGAAAAUGCGCUUAGGGCUAUACGAGACUGGAUGUCAGCAGUAUCCAUGACCAAUUUGCAGAGGAAUUGGAUUUUACACCUUAAACCAAGGCUCAUAUCAAUCGAAGGGCUUCAAAUCCAGCGACAACUUGCACAUGGAGAACCAAUGCCACACGAGAUAUGUACUGCUAUCUUUCGGAGGCUUGCCCAACUGGACCAGUCUUGCUCUAAGGACACGCCUGGCAACAUCUGGAGGAAGUACAUAGAGCCUGACUUUGCUACAACUGUUUUGUCGAACGCCGAUCCAUUGACUGUUCAAUCUAUUCGCACUGGGUUUCAGGAAGGAACAGGUCUUUGCAACCCAGCUUCAUGCCGAAUGUGGUUCAUCCCAGCAAUUCUUCCAGAUGGAUGGGCUGUAUAUUUAUUUGAUAUGAUGCGGAAACGAAUCAUUGUGUUAGACCCAGCAGUUGGCCCAUUUGGGUAUAGCAAUAGGCGGGUCAGCAUGCACGAGUUUGUAAGCAACAAACUGCAUGCUGCCCUGUUCAACUGUUUACAUAGUUUCUUUAGUUCUUGGCACUGUGAUUCCACUAACUAG